GGGUGAUUAGCUCAGUUGGUAGAGCAGCUGACUCUUAAUCAGCGGGUCGUAGGUUCGAGCCCUACAUCACCCA
rfam:Brevundimonas abyssalis TAR-001 DNA, contig: BAB008.